CCAAUAGCGUAUAUUAAAGUUGUUGCAGUUAAAAAGCUCGUAGUUGAAUUUCGGGAUUGACACAUCGGUCGUGCCUUAAGGGGUAUGAACUGGUGUAGUCAAUUUCUCACCUUCUGGAGAACCGCGAUGCCCUUAAUUGGGUGUCGCGGGGAACCAGGACCUUUACUUUGAAAAACUUAGAGUGUUUAAAGCAGGCAUUUUGCUUGAAUACAUUAGCAUGGAAUAAUAAAAUAGGACGGCAUGAUUCUAUUUUGUUGGUUUCUAGGAUCACCGUAAUGAUUAAUAGGGAUAGUUGGGGGCAUUAGUAUUCAAUUGUCAGAGGUGAAAUUCUUGGAUUUAUUGAAGACUAACCACUGCGAAAGCAUUUGCCAAGGAUGUUUUCAUUAAUCAAGAACGAAAGUUAGGGGAUCGAAGACGAUCAGAUACCGUCGUAGUCUUAACCAUAAACUAUGCCGACUAGGAAUCAGACGAUGUUAAUUUUUUAAUGACUCGUUUGGCACCUUAC
rnacentral:rRNA from 1 species